GAUGAACGCUGGCGGCGUGCCUAAUACAUGCAAGUCGAGCGAACAGAUGAGGAGCUUGCUCCUCUGACGUUAGCGGCGGACGGGUGAGUAACACGUGGAUAACCUACCUAUAAGACUGGGAUAACUUCGGGAAACCGGAGCUAAUACCGGAUAAUAUAUUGAACCGCAUGGUUCAAUAGUGAAAGACGGUUUUGCUGUCACUUAUAGAUGGAUCCGCGCCGCAUUAGCUAGUUGGUAAGGUAACGGCUUACCAAGGCAACGAUGCGUAGCCGACCUGAGAGGGUGAUCGGCCACACUGGAACUGAGACACGGUCCAGACUCCUACGGGAGGCAGCAGGAGGGAAUCUGCCGCAAUGGGCGAAAGCCUGACGGAGCAACGCCGCGUGAGUGAUGAAGGGCUGCGGAUCGUAAAACUCUGUUAUUAGGGAAGAACAAAUGUGUAAGUAACGAUGCACGUCUUGACGGUACCUAAGCAGAAAGCCACGGCUAACUACGG
rnacentral:rRNA from 1 species